rnacentral:misc_RNA from 1 species
AAGUCGUAACAAGGUCUCCGUAGGUGAACCUGCGGAGGGAUCAUUAUUGAAUUUCCAAUAACAGAAGGGACUGACCCGCGAGGGUUGGAUCCUUUCUGAACAACCAACAUACAUGACUAGGAAAUAACAGAUCAAUGGAAUGGUUGGGUUGGGUUUUGGGGGGUUUGACUUGACUUGACUUGUUAUGCUGUGUAUGUGUGUAUCUCUGGAUAUACUAAUACUAGCAGACGCAAGCGAGAGAGAAGUUCUUGGCUGAUAAGUAGCAUUGAUUUGGAAUCUACAAUAAUACAACUUUCAACAACGGAUCUCUUGGCUCUCA